rnacentral:lncRNA from 1 species
GCAUGCAUUCAUCAUAAGCAAUUAAAUAAAAAUCACAUAUUCAUGCUAAGGUUCAAGGCUUCACCCUAGCAAAAUAAAAUUAGUUAUGCAUAUUCAUAAUUGAAAUCCAAGAAAAUAUCAUUUAGAAGGAAAAGAUUGAAAACACCUUAAAGUAGCAAAAACCCAAAACCCCAGCUUGCUCUCCACAAUGUCACGUUCAAAAGUGAAAAAGAAGAAGUCCCUAAAUUCCUUGUGAGAAAGGGCUUAAAUACCCCUUAAAACCUAGCUGCCAAUGUAAAGCUUUU